GUGGCAGCCGCCGCGGUAAAACCAGCACCUCAAGUGGUCAGGAUGAUUAUUGGGCCUAAAGCAUCCGUAGCCUGCUCUGUAAGUUUUCGGUUAAAUCUGUACGCUUAACGUACAGGCCGCCGGAAAUACUGCAGAGCUAGGGAGUGGGAGAGGUAGACGGUACUCGGGAGGAAGUGGUAAAAUGCUUUGAUCUCUCGAUGACCACCUGUGGCGAAGGCGGUCUACCAGAACACGUCCGACGGUGAGGGAUGAAAGCUGGGGGAGCAAACCGGAUUAGAUACCCGGGUAGUCCCAGCUGUAAACUAUGCAAACUCAGUGAUGCAUUGGCUUGUGGCCAAUGCAGUGUUGCAGGGAAGCCGUUAAGUUUGCCGCCUGGGAAGUACGUACGCAAGUAUGAAACUUAAAGGAAUUGGCGGGGGAGCACCACAAGGGGUGAAGCCUGCGGUUCAAUUGGAGUCAACGCCAGAAAUCUUACCCGGAGAGACAGCAGAAUGAAGGUCAAGCUGAAGACUUUACCAGACAAGCUGAGAGGUGGUGCAUGGCCGUCGCCAGCUCGUGCCGUGAGAUGUCCUGUUAAGUCAGGUAACGAGCGAGAUCCCUGCCUCUAGUUGCCACCAUUACUCUCAGGAGUAGUGGGGCGAAUUAGCGGGACCGCCGCAGUUAAUGCGGAGGAAGGAAGGGGCCACGGCAGGUCAGUAUGCCCCGAAACUCUGGGGCCACACGCGGGCUGCAAUGGUAAUGACAAUAGGUUCCGAACCCGAAAGGAAGAGGUAAUCCAUAAACAUUACCACAGUUAUGACUGAGGGCUGCAACUCGCCCUCACGAAUAUGGAAUCCCUAGUAACUGCGUGUCAUUAUCGCGCGGUGAAUACGUCCCUGCUCCUUGCACACACCGCCCGUC
rnacentral:rRNA from 1 species